GAGACAGCCAAUGAACAAGGCAAAUGGGUAAAUUACAGGGUCUGUCUGAGGAUGGUCAAUGCCAUGGAGAAGGCAGGAACGGGGAAGGGAGAUGAGAAAUGUUACAAUGCUAGGAGGUUGGAGGAGGAGAUGCUUGAGCAGACCUGGAGGAGGUGAGGGAAGAAGCCAGGGCAGAUCCGGGAGAGGACCAUCUAGACGGGAGGGCGUCCCAGGGCAGAGGUCCACUUGGAGCUGGAGGGUAGCCUGGCUGUGUGAGGAACAGGGAUAGAGGGUGUGACUGGAGCCUUUGAGCAGAGAAGGGGCGAGAUAUGAUUUAGGCUGUUUGUUUGUUUGCCUGUUUUUGAGAUAGUGUCUCACUCUGUCACCCAGGCCGGAGUGUAGUGGCAGGAUCACAGUAUUGGCUCAAGCAGCUUCAACCUCCCAGACUCAGGUGAUCCUCCCACCUCAGCCUGCCAGGUGUGCGCCUGUAGAAAAUAUCUGCAAAUCAUAUUUUUUUUCUUUCUUUCUUUCGUUCUUUCUCUCUUUCUUUCUUCCUUUCUCUCUCUCUCUUUUUCUUUCUUCUUUCUCUUUCUUUUUCUUCCUAUCUAUCUCUCUCUUUCUUUCUUUCUUUACUUCUUUCCUUCUUUCUUUUUCUUUUGAGAAAGGGUCUUGCUCUGUCACCCAGGCUGGGGGGCAGUGGUGCAAUCACAGCUCACUACAGCCUUAAACUCCUGGGCUCAAACAAUCCUCCCACCUCAGCCUCCCGAGUAGCUGGGACCACAGGUGCGUGCUGCCCCAUGCCUGGCUAAUUUUUUAGAUUUUUGUGAAGAUGAGUUCUCACUACGUUGCUUAGGCUGGUCUCAAACUCCUGGGCUCAAGAAAUUCUCCCAACUCAGCCCCACAAAGUGCUGGGAUUACAGAUGUGGGUCACCAUGCCCAGCUGCACAUCAUAUUUCUGAUAAGAGAUUGAUAUCCAGAAUAUAUAGAAAACUUCCAGAAUACAACUAUUUUAAAAAAAAAUCCAAUUUUUUUAAUGGGCAAAAAGAACUUGAAUAGACAUUUCUCCAAAGAACAUAAUAAAUGGCCAAUAAGUACAUGAAAAGAUACUCAACUAUCCCUAAUCAUUAGCGGAAGACACAUCUAAACUACAAUGAGAUAUUGCCUCGCAGCUAUUAGAAUGGCUACCAUCACAAAAACGAAAAUAACAAGGAUUGGCAAGGAUGUGGAGCAGCAAACAAGGAAACCUUGUGUGCUGUUGGUGGGAACGCAACCUAGUAUGGCUGUUGUAGAAGACAGUAUGGUGGCUCCUCAAAAAAUUAAAAAUAGAGGUUGGGUGUGGUGGCUCAUGCCUGUAAUCCCAGCACUUUGGGAGGCACUUUGAGAGAGAGAGGGACAAUGAGAGAGAGAGGUCCCUGAGGGGAUUGGAACCUCUGGUUCUGGGUGUCUCUGUGCUCUCCUGUCUUGGAACUCAUUUAUAACAAAUUUCCCUUUGUGUGUAAACUGCCUCAAGUUGGACUCCUGCCAUAUAGACCCAAAAGAACCUUAAGAGCUACACCUGCCCUGACAGGAUGCAUCCUGCAUUCCUCCUCCCAGAGAGAGCAUUUUGUCAAGACUAGCUUCAGCUGCAAGUAACAGAAAACCCCAAAAUCAAAUGGCCUCAACAAGAUGGAAGUUUCUCUUUGACAUAAAUGGAGUCUGGAGGUAGAGAGUUCAGGGCAAAUGUGGCAGUUUCAUAAUCCUGGGGACACAGCCUCCUUCAAUUAUUACUGGCCUGUCAUCUUCAGUACAUAACUUGGGGUCCAAGAUGGCUGCCAGAGCUCCAGCCAUCAUAUCCACAUUCUGUUCAGUAGUGAAAGGAUUAGGAACAAAAGCUAUCUUUAAGGCCAGCUCCUAGUAGCCUCAUAUAACACUUCUACUUCUAUCUAUUGGCCAAAAGUCAGCCACAUGGCCACACUUAGCUCCAGGGAACCUAGAGAAUAUAUUUUUUGCUGGACUCCCAUGCAUCCAUUUAAAAAUCAGGGUAUGUAUUACCAAGGACAUAGAGGAUGUGGACAUCAGAAGCGUCUCUUCCAAAACCUUCUUCCUUCUGUAGAGAUGGUGGGCAUCCUAAACCUUCAGCCCCUGAGGGUCUCUAAACUGAAAAGUUUCCUGACAGACAUUUGGAGAACUGAUUCCACCAAAAACUAUCCACAGUGGGCCAGUGGAUGUCACUAACCUGGAGCAGAUGGCAACCUGGGGAACAGGCCCAAGGCCAAGCAGCCAUUAAUCGCCUUUUGGAGCCCAGCCAGAAGAAACUCUUGAUAAGAAUCCUAGCCCCAGCCAGGACAAGGUCCCUGCCCUGCCCAGCUGGGAGCCAAUGUGAAUCAACAAUCCACUCUUCCUGUGUGGCAGCCAGAGGGAGUGUUUACCUGGUGAUCUUCAGGAACUGUAAAUGGGCUCCUGUAUGAGUGCUUCAUUAUGGCCGCAUCCCUUUUGGAGUUCAGGAAAAACAGACCAGCAUUUAACAUCGACACAGACCUGAAGUCUGAUAAGAAACAUUUACAAUCCAUUCUCUCUGAAGGCUGCUACCUGGAGGCUUCAUUUGCAUCAUAAAACUCUGGUCUCCACAACCUCUUAUCAUAACUCAGACAGUCCUUUCUAUUGAUAAUAACUCUUUCAACCAAUUGCCAAUAGAAAAAUUUUUCAAUCGACCUAUAUGGAAGCCCCUCCCCCACCACUUUCAGUUAUCCCACCUUUCUGGACUGAACCGAUGUAUAUCUUAAAUGUUUUGAUUGAUGUCUCGUGUCUCCCUAAAAUGUAUAAAACAAAGCUACACCCCAAACAUCUUGGCCAUAUGUUUUCAGGGUCACCUGAGGGCUGUGUCAUGGGCUAUGGUCACUCAUAUUUAGCUCAGAAUAAAUCUCUUAAAAUAUUUUACAGGGCCAGGCACAGUGGCUCAUGCCUGUAAUCCCAGCACUUUGGGAGGCCAAGGUGGGCAGAUCACCUGAGGUCAGGAGUUCGAGACCAGACUGGCCAACAUGGUGAAACCCUGUCUCUACUAAAAAUACAAAAAACUUAGCUGGGCGUUGUGGUACACCCCUGCAAUCCCAGCUACUCGGGAAGCUGAGGCACGAGAAUUGCUUGAACCUAGGAGGCGGAGGUUGCAGUGAUCCAAGAUUGUGCCACUACAGUCCAGCCUGGGUGACAGAGCAAGACUCUGUCUCAAAAAAUGUAUAUAUUUUAGAGGGUUUUCAUCGACACGCUUGUUCCCAGGGCCCCUAGCGUGUCGCACACUUGUUCCCAGAUCCCCCAGCAUGUCCCCACUUCCACCUGAAGGUAGGGAAAACAAGAAAGGGAGAACUUUAUUGAAGGGCAUGACCCAGAAAUGGCACACAACUCUUCUGUUCACAUACCAUUCACCAGAACAUGCUCACGUGACUACAGCUGCUGCAAGGAAGGCUGGGAAAUUUAGUCUUUAUUCCAGGCAACCAUUGGCCAAACUUAAACUCCUCUAACUAUGAAAGGACUCGUAGAUUGGGGAGGCACCACUAGCUUCUCUGCCAUAUAUAUUUACAACCCCAAUAGUUGCUUCCUCUGCUAAGGCAGGUACAUUAUCACAUAGUAGGAGGAAGCAGACCAAACUGUAGUCGUUCUGGAGACAGGUAAAUCCAAAAAUGGGAGGAGAGGAUCUGAGCCAAGUAAGCUCAUUUUCUUCUCCCAGACUCAUCAAACUCAUAGCAGGGGACAAAAGCCAAAAGUUUUAUUCCAACUUCAGAUUUCUAACUGGGGCAGUAUUAAUAUUUUAGCUGAGACAAGUUUCUGUUGUAUGGGACAGUCCCACCUAUUAUUGCAGGAGGUUUUGCCCAAUAAAUGUCACUACUGUUUCAUCCUCAGGCAUUGUGACAACCAAACUGUAGGAAGAUGGGCUGGGCACAGUGGCUCAUGCCUAUAAUCCCGGUGCUUUGGGAGGCUGAGGUGGGAGGAUUACUUGAGGCCCUGAGUUCAAAACCAGCCUGAGCAACAAAAUGAGAUCCCAUCUCCACACACACACACAAAAUCAAAUUGUAGGAAGAGAUUUCCAAAACCUCUAGGAGGGGCAGGGGAUGCCUUCGACUGGGAAAUAUAGGGGCAUUUGUAACCACACCAGACCAAUCUGAUUCAACUUUUAUGUAACAAAGCUGUAAGUUGUUUUUCAGUUGCCACGGACUCCCAGGUUGAAGGUCCAUAACCUAAGCAUGCCCAGGUGAACCAAACGUGCAACCUUGACUGAAACCCAAGUACUCAGACUGGGAAGUGAGGAUUGAAUUAAGAAGUGGACACUGCAUGGCGGGAUCCAGGAUCCAAUCACAUUGAGCCCUGGCAUCACCCCAGGGCACGGUCCAAUCAAAUCAUGCCUCCCCACAUCACCUCAUUACAAGAUCCAAUCAGAUCAUGCCUCCCUGCAAAUAAUUACAAAUGUAGUACGAGAAACACUGAGGUUUGGGAAAUGUUCACAAUAAGGCAAGAUCCAAUCAGAUCAUGCCUCAUUACCCUUGGGACUAUAAAACCUGUCCCAACCCCUAGCUCAGGGAGAUAUAUUUGAGCCUGACUCCUAUCUCCUUGCUUGACAGCCUUGCAAUACACUUUUCUGUCUACAAAAUCCCAAGGUUGGCUGGGCGCGGUGGCUCACGCCUGUAAUCCCAGCACUUUGGGAGGCUGAGGUGAGCAGAUCACGAGGUCAGGAGAUCGACACCAUCCUGGCUAACACGGUGAAACACCAUCUCUACUACAAAUACAAAAAAUUACCUGGGCGUGGUGGCGGGCACCUGUAGUCCCAGCUACUUGGGAGGCUGAGGCAGGAGAAUGGCGUGAACCCGGGAGGCGGAGCUUUCAGUGAGCCGAGAUCGCGCCAUUGCACUCCAGCCUGGGCGACAGAGUGAGACUCCAUCAAAAAAAAAAAAAAAAAAAAAAAAAUUCCCAAGGCUUUGGUGUGUGGCUUUCCAUUGUGUGCAGGCAAACAGACCCAGUUCAGGUCGGUGACAUGUCCUUCUCAUAGAGAUGUGAGAAAUGUAGGAUUCCCUCACACAGGGCAGGAGAAAUGAUGACUGAUGGUACAGGGACUCAAGGAGCCGGGAGAACAGGUCUUGACCUUGAAUGUCAGUAAAUUCAUUGUCUGAGAAUGGGAGGAAGGAAGUGAGACUGGCUCACAAGUUUAUGGGUGGGGGCAGGAAAUAAAAUGUGUUCAGACCCAGUGAGUGAAAUUUAACCAGAGGAAGCUGAGCUGGUUCUUGGGUAUAAUUAUGAGUGAUCUAGGCUUUGUAUAUGGCAGUGAAGGCUGGAAUGGCUGCUGAGAAAAUUGGAACCAGGAACUGACCAACGAGAAAUAAACAGAUUUCCAGAGAUUGCUCAAGGUCUGUUUGAAGCUGGGCACAUGGAUUUGUGGAAUAUGAUGAGGUUUUUUUUUUUUUAAAUAACCCAAUCAAUCUUUUAUUUUUUAAUUUAUAGUAACCCCCUUUUAUUUUUUGCCUUUGUUAAAUGCCCAGACAUGCCACAGUACCAAGCAUUAUCAAUACCAACUCACAUUCCUUUCCUUAUUUAAAAAAAAAACUAACUUUCUAACUCAUUACAAACACCCCUUCCCCUUUCCUCUCCACUUUCUUUUACGUGCCCACCUUAUCUAAAAAAAAACCAAACGUUUAGCCAACCAAAAUUAGUUUAAAUUGUACGACCCAACCCCAGCCAAUGGGGAAAGGGUAAAAGAGCAAGACUUGCAUGAAAAAUAGACUCUCGUGCCCCUUUGCUCAGGUAUGCUCUCAUGGCAACUGGCCAAAGAGACACCCACCCCUCUGCACAAAAAUAAAAUUGCUUUGCUAAAAAUCCUUUGUUCAAGUGUUCAAUUUCCUUAAAAUUUUAAACGUUAUUCCUAACAGAUUCAAAGUGGUUCCAGGAUGGAAGGGCAAGUUCAACCUGUUUGUUCCUUCAACCUGGAAUGCACUUCCCCACAGCCCCACACUCUCACCCAACACCGACCUCUCUUCACCUAUCACAGAGCCAAACUCAGGAUCCCAGGUCCAAAUCCCUAAGUCCAAAUCCUGAUUUUGCCACUUACUUGAGCGUGAACUUGGACAAUUUAUUUAACCUCCAUGAAUCUCUGUUUCCUCAUGUAAAAAAAUGGAAGCA
rnacentral:lncRNA from 1 species